AACAAGGUAGGAUAAAUUUUAAGUCUGAGGGGCCCAUACCCCCUAGGUGGAGAUUCCUUUUGUUG
rnacentral:tRNA from 1 species